UACGAAGGGGGCUAGCGUUGCUCGGAAUGACUGGGCGUAAAGGGCGCGUAGGCGGAUGGCACAGUCAGAUGUGAAAUUCCCGGGCUUAACCUGGGGGCUGCAUUUGAUACGUGUUGUCUUGAGUUCGGAAGAGGGUCGUGGAAUUCCCAGUGUAGAGGUGAAAUUCGUAGGUAUUGGGAAGAACACCGGUGGCGAAGGCGGCGACCUGGUCCGACACUGACGCUGAGGCGCGAAAGCGUGGGGAGCAAACAGG
rnacentral:rRNA from 1 species